UACGGAGGGGACUAGCGUUGUUCGGAAUUACUGGGCGUAAAGCGCACGUAGGCGGAUUUGUAAGUCAGGGGUGAAAUCCCGGGGCUCAACCUCGGAACUGCCUUUGAUACUGCAAAUCUCGAGUCCGGAAGAGGUGAGUGGAAUUCCUAGUGUAGAGGUGAAAUUCGUAGAUAUUGGGAAGAACACCGGUGGCGAAGGCGGCUCACUGGCUCAUUACUGACGCUCAGGCGCGACAGCGUGGGGAUCAAACAGG
rnacentral:rRNA from 1 species